AGUGCAAGAAACCAGGAAGGGGUAGGCACCACUAUUGGUGAAGAGGUUGAGCAGGUUAACAGUUUCCUUUCAAGAUGUGCUGUGACCACCAAAUACAUGUCAAUGUCAGUAAGGACAGACAUGUUAACACUCCAUGCCAUGGGGUGGAAUGACCGCAAGAGGGACAACCUCUAUAGAGCCUUGUCUUCAAGAUACUACAAGACAUUAAAAAACACCAUGAGGCAACUGUGACCCUGAAGAACAUGCAGGAACAAUGUCAGUGUUCUGAUUACAUACUGGAACAGUGUCAAGGACUAGUUAAGAUUUUUUUUCUAUGAAAUGU